rnacentral:rRNA from 1 species
UACGAAGGGGGCUAGCGUUGUUCGGAAUCACUGGGCGUAAAGCGCACGUAGGCGGAUUUUUAAGUCAGGGGUGAAAUCCCGAGGCUCAACCUCGGAACUGCCUUUGAUACUGAGGAUCUGGAGUCCGGGAGAGGUGAGCGGAACUGCGAGUGUAGAGGUGAAAUUCGUAGAUAUUCGCAAGAACACCAGUGGCGAAGGCGGCUCACUGGCCCGGAACUGACGCUGAGGUGCGAAAGCGUGGGUAGCAAACAGG